rnacentral:rRNA from 1 species
UACAGAGGCCUCGAGCGUUAGGCGGAAUCACUGGGCUUAAAGCGUGUGUAGGCGGAUGCCUAAGUACCUUGUGAAAUCCCACGGCUCACCCGUGGAACCGCUGGGUAUACUGGGCAUCUUGGGCCAUUCAGGGGCAACUGGAACAAGCGGUGGAGCGGUGAAAUGCGUAGAUAUCGCUUGGAACGCCGACGGUGAAAACAGGUUGCUGGGAAUGUGCCGACGCUGAGACACGAAAGCCAGGGGAGCAAACGGG